rnacentral:rRNA from 1 species
CGUAGGGUGCAAGCGUUAAUCGGAAUUACUGGGCGUAAAGCGUGCGCAGGCGGCUUUGCAAGACAGAUGUGAAAUCCCCGGGCUUAACCUGGGAACUGCAUUUGUGACUGCAAGGCUAGAGUACGGCAGAGGGGGAUGGAAUUCCGCGUGUAGCAGUGAAAUGCGUAGAUAUGCGGAGGAACACCGAUGGCGAAGGCAAUCCCCUGGGCCUGUACUGACGCUCAUGCACGAAAGCGUGGGGAGCAAACAGGAUUAGAUACCCUGGUAGUCCACGCCCUAAACGAUGUCAACUGGUUGUUGGACGGCUUGCUGUUCAGUAACGAAGCUAACGCGUGAAGUUGACCGCCUGGGGAGUACGGCCGCAAGGUUG